CGAGCGAUCUUUGUUCGGACCGAGUGACUUCGGUUGCAAGGACUGAACUGUGAUAGCGGCAAACGGGUGAGGAACAGGUGAGUAAUCUACCCACGAAUUCGAGAUAGCUUCGCGAAAGCGGAGGUAAUAUUGGAUAAGACCACGAUUCAUAAGUUUUGUGGUAAAAGGCAUUUUAAUGUUGUUUGUGGAUGAGCUCGCUUCUUAUCAGCUUGUUGGUGAGGUAACGGCUCACCAAGGCUAAGACGGGUAGCUGGUCUGAGAGGAUGGUCAGCCACACUGGGACUGAGACACUGCCCAGACUCCUACGGGAGGCUGCAGUCGAGGAUCUUUAGCAAUGGACGAAAGUCUGACUAUGCGACGCCGCGUGAGGGAUGAAAUCCUUCGGGAUGUAAACCUCUUUCGAUAGGGAGGAAUGGCCUCGUUGAGAGGAGUUGACUGUACCUAGAGAAGAAGCCACGGCUAACUCC
rnacentral:rRNA from 1 species